rnacentral:misc_RNA from 1 species
AAGUCGUAACAAGGUCUUCGUAGGUGAACCUGCGGAGGGAUCAUUGAUGAAUUAAGCCUUAUUCCUGGACGCGCUUCGGCGUUUGAAGGGUUGGCUAUCAUCCCCAUUUACACCCCUGUGCACCCUUUUUUUCAGACUUUAGGAACUGGCCUCUUCGGAGACCUCAGUACUUGGGCUGGAAAGAAACCCUUGUGAAUGUAAAAGUUUGGAUGUCCAAUUGAAAAAAUUAAA